rnacentral:rRNA from 1 species
GAGACAGCAGUCGCCACGGUAAUACGGAGGGUGCAAGCGUUAUCCGGAUUUAUUGGGUUUAAAGGGUCCGUAGGCGGACUUAUAAGUCAGUGGUGAAAGCCUGUCGCUUAACGAUAGAACUGCCAUUGAUACUGUAAGUCUUGAGUAUAUUUGAGGUAGCUGGAAUAAGUAGUGUAGCGGUGAAAUGCAUAGAUAUUACUUAGAACACCAAUUGCGAAGGCAGGUUACCAAGAUAUAACUGACGCUGAGGGACAAAAGCGUGGGUAGCGAACAGGAUUAGAUACCCCUGUAGUCCCUGUCUCUUAUAC